rnacentral:rRNA from 1 species
GACGAACCGUGCGAACGUUAUUCGGAAUCACUGGGCUUAAAGCGCGUGUAGGCGGGGUGGCACGUCCGUCGCUGAAAUCCCCCGGCUCAACCGGGGAACGGGCGCGGAUACGACCAUCCUCGAGGGACGUAGGGGGACCUGGAACUUCCGGUGGAGCGGUGAAAUGCGUAGAUAUCGGAAGGAACACCUGUGGCGAAAGCGGCUCACUGGACCAUAACUGACGCUGAGGCACGAAAGCUAGGGGAGCAAACAGG